GAAGCUUUGUUUAUAUAUUGAUGAGUGCUUCGCACAAAUAAAUGACAAUAUAUAUAUUUUGUCUUGACCAAUUACGUGCCAGCAGUCGCGGUAAUACGUAAGAGACUAGUGUUAUUCAUCAUAAUUAGGUUUAAAGGGUACCUAGACGGUCAAAAUAGCAUGUUAAAUGUAAAUGUAACUACUUGACUAGAGUUUUAUGGAAGAGGGCAGAACUUGCGGAGGAGAGAUAAAAUUUCGUAAUACCAAAAGGACUGGUAAAGGUGAAGACAGCCCUUUAUUUAAAAACUGACGUUGAGGGACGAAGGCAUAGGUAACAAAAAGGAUUAGAUACCCCAGUAGUCUUUGCAGUAAAUUAUGAAUGCCAUAGGUUAGAUUAAUUUUUAGUCUAUAAAUGAAAGUGUAAGCAUUCCACCUCAAGAGUAAUGUGGCAACGCAGGAACUGAAAUCACUAGACCGUUUCUGACACCAGUAGUGAAGUAUGUUA
rnacentral:rRNA from 1 species